GAUGAACGCUAGCGGCAGGCCUAACACAUGCAAGUCGAGGGGUAGAAGUCUUCGGGCUUUGAGACCGGCGCACGGGUGCGUAACGCGUAUGCAAUCUGCCUUACACUAAGGGAUAGCCCAGAGAAAUUUGGAUUAAUACCUUAUAGUAUAUUGAUGUGGCAUCACAUUAUUAUUAAAGAUUUAUCGGUGUAAGAUGAGCAUGCGUCCCAUUAGCUAGUUGGUAUGGUAACGGCAUACCAAGGCAAUGAUGGGUAGGGGUCCUGAGAGGGAGAUCCCCCACACUGGUACUGAGACACGGACCAGACUCCUACGGGAGGCAGCAGUGAGGAAGAUUGGACAAUGGGCGCAAGCCUGAUCCAGCCAUGCCGCGUGCAGGAUGACGGUCCUAUGGAUUGUAAACUGCUUUUAUACAGGAAGAAACCCUACUACGGGUAGUAGAUUGACGGUACUGUAGGAAUAAGGAUCGGCUAACUCCGUG
rnacentral:rRNA from 1 species